rnacentral:rRNA from 2 species
GGGUUGUGAGGUUAAGCGACUAAGCGUACACGGUGGAUGCCCUGGCAGUCAGAGGCGAUGAAGGACGUGCUAAUCUGCGAUAAGCGCCGGUAAGGUGAUAUGAACCGUUAUAACCGGCGAUUUCCGAAUGGGGAAACCCAGUGUGACUCGUCACACUAUCAUUAACUGAAUCCAUAGGUUAAUGAGGCGAACCGGGGGAACUGAAACAUCUAAGUACCCCGAGGAAAAGAAAUCAACCGAGAUUCCCCCAGUAGCGGCGAGCGAACGGGGAGGAGCCCAGAGCCUGAAUCAGCAUGUGUGUUAGUGGAAGCGUCUGGAAAGGCGCGCGAUACAGGGUGACAGCCCCGUACACAAAAGCGCAUGUGCUGUGAGCUCGAUGAGUAGGGCGGGACACGUGGUAUCCUGUCUGAAUAUGGGGGGACCAUCCUCCAAGGCUAAAUACUCCUGACUGACCGAUAGUGAACCAGUACCGUGAGGGAAAGGCGAAAAGAACCCCGGCGAGGGGAGUGAAAAAGAACCUGAAACCGUGUACGUACAAGCAGUGGGAGCACAGGUUU